GUCCUCUAGUGGUUUAUUUGAGGUCUAACCUGCCCAAUGAUUUUUUUAAUGGCCGCGGUAUACUGACCGUGCAAAGGUAGCAUAAUCAUUUGUCUCUUAAUUGGAGGCUGGAAUGAAUGGUUGGACGAGAAAUAAGCUUUCUUUAUCUUAUUUUUAUGAAUUUUAUUUUUUAGUCAAAAAGCUUAAAUUUUUUUAUGGGACGAGAAGACCCUAUAGAAUUUUAUAGUUUUUAUUUAUUACUAGUUUUGUUUAUUUUUUGUUUUAUUUAUAUACUAUUUUGUUGGGGUGAUGGGAAAAUAAUUUUAACUUUUCUUUUUUUUAUUCACUGAUUUGUGUUUUAUUGAUCCACUUUUUGUGAUUAUAAGAUUAAAUUACCUUAGGGAUAACAGCGUAAUUCUUUUGGAGAGUUCAUAUCGAUAAAAGAGUUUGCGA
rnacentral:rRNA from 1 species